UUAAGUCAUUAAAAACCCUACGAUUCAAGCUAAAAUAUGAAAAAUCUAUCAAAUAUGCAAAAAAUCAUCACUUUUCAGAGGCUUUUUGUUAAAAAUGAAAGUGGCUGCAUCCGUGUUCAUCCUCAAUCUUUAUAUAUGUUAUGUAUUAUCAUCAAAUGCAACUUACAUUUUAAUAUUAUGAAUGAACACGAAUGAGGCCACUUUCAUCUAAGACGGAAACCGUAUAAAAUUUAACUAAAAUGCUAAAAUUGUGAAGAUUUCAGUAAUUUAGCAUGACUUAAUGAUGUUAGUACCCAAUAUAUGUGCAUUGUAUUGUCAAAAACGGCCCAUAUUUGUGUAGCAGAAGCAUUCUACAUUCCUAUAAAUAGCUAAAAGAUUACAUUUUCACAAUUUUGCAAAACUGCUAUGUUUUGGGGCCAAAAUGGGGUCUUACUGAACCUACUCCUUUGCAAUUGGAAUUUAAAAAAAGAUAUAAUCAAUUAAUUAUAAUAAGAAUGAUAACAUCCUGGUGCAAUAAUUCUGAAAUGGUUUAUAUCAAAAUCCAUAGUCUUCAAAGAUUUAAAGCAAUUACACAGAGCACAAAGAAGAUUGUCUUAACAGAAAAACAGAGAAAAGAAUUGAUAAAGCAUAAUCUGUACUCCACGAUAAUUCCUACACAUUCAAUUUGUAUAAUGUUAAUAUCAUAGCAUUAGUAAUUACAUUAUAGCCAUCAAAUCACAAAACAUAAAAAUAAAUGCUCAGUUACAUUCUAAUUUACAUGUACUGCAAAGCACUCCAUAUCUUAUUGAAAAGAGAACUUAUCAUGGCAUAGCUUUAUCUGCUAUGUAUUCUGGCAAUUUUUUGUUCAAUAUAUACAUGAAUAAGGUGAGUUCUCCAAAGAAAAUCCAAUCGAUUGUAACUGUAUCAAAAAUUCAGUUUGUUAGUUGUGGUAAGUAAGUAAAUUUUAUUAAGAGUCGGGCAUCAUAUGUACAAAUUAACACAGUAAACAUGAACUCUGGAGAGCUCUUAGCUGACUUGAUAUUUAAAAAACAAAUAACAAUACACAUAUAAAUAAAACACAUGUAUAAUAUAAAAGCUAAGCAAACAUGCAUAAAUCUAAGCAAUCAAGCUAAA
rnacentral:lncRNA from 1 species